UACGGAGGUUCCAAGCGUUGUUCGGAAUUACUGGGCGUAAAGGGAGCGCAGGCGGGCAAGUCAGUCUGAAGUGAAAUCCCGGGGCUCAACCUCGGACUUGCUUCGGAUACUGCUUGUCUUGAGUUCGUGAUAGGAAGACGGAAUUCAGGGUGUAGCGGUGAAAUGCACAGAUAUCCUGAGGAACACCGGUGGCGAAAGCGGUCUUCUGGCGCGAAACUGACGCUGAGGCUCGAAAGCGUGGGUAGCAAACGGGAUUAGAUACCCGGGUAGUCCCU
rnacentral:rRNA from 1 species